rnacentral:rRNA from 1 species
CGUAACAAGGUCUCCGUAGGUGAACCUGCGGAGGGAUCAUUACACAAAUAUGAAGGCGGGCUGGAACCUCUCGGGGUUACAGCCUUGCUGAAUUAUUCACCCUUGUCUUUUGCGUACUUCUUGUUUCCUUGGUGGGUUCGCCCACCACUAGGACAAACAUAAACCUUUUGUAAUUGCAAUCAGCGUCAGUAACAAAUUAAUAAUUACAACUUUCAACAACGGAUCUCUUGGUUCUGGCAUCGAUGAAGAACGCAGCGAAAUGCGAUAAGUAGUGUGAAUUGCAGAAUUCAGUGAAUCAUCGAAUCUUUGAACGCACAUUGCGCCCUUUGGUAUUCCAAAGGGCAUGCCUGUUCGAGCGUCACUUGUACCCUCAAGCUUUGCUUGGUGUUGGGCGUCUUGUCUCUAGCUUUGCUGGAGACUCGCCUUAAAGUAAUUGGCAGCCGGCCUACUGGUUUCGGAGCGCAGCACAAGUCGCACUCUCUAUCAGCAAAGGUCUAGCAUCCAUUAAGCCUUUUUUUCAACUUUUGACCUCGGAUCAGGUAGGGAUACCCGCUGAACUUAAGCAUAUCA